CCCAGCUGUAGGCAACUACCUAGGUUGCACUGUACCUAGGCAAGUUUUACAUUGCUGGAAGAAUAGCAGCUAAUAGCUGGCAGGCAUUCUGGGCCAGGUUAAUGCCAAAUUUGUGUUAAUUAUACCAGUGUGCCAACAAA
ensembl:snoRNA SNORA74 Small nucleolar RNA SNORA74